UACGGAAGGCAGCAGUGGGGAAUAUUGCACAAUGGGCGCAAGCCUGAUGCAGCCAUGCCGCGUGUAUGAAGAAGGCCUUCGGGUUGUAAAGUACUUUCAGUCGUGAGGAAGGUGUUAAGGUUAAUAACCUUAGCAAUUGACGUUAGCGACAGAAGAAGCACCGGCUAACUCCGUGCCGGCAGCCGCGGUAAUACGGAGGGUGCGAGCGUUAAUCGGAAUUACUGGGCGUAAAGGGCACGCAGGCGGUUAAUUAAGUUGGAUGUGAAAUCCCCGGGCUUAACCUGGGAAUGGCAUUCAAGCUGGUUAGCUAGAGUCUUGUAGAGGGGGUAGAAUUCCAUGUGUAGCGGUGAAAUGCGUAGAGAUGUGGAGGAAUACCGGUGGCGAAGGCGGCCCCUGGACAAAGACUGACGCUCAUGUGCGAAAGCGUGGGGAGCAAACAGGGAUUAGAUACC
rnacentral:rRNA from 1 species